GACGAACGCUGGCGGCGUGCCUAAUACAUGCAAGUAGAACGCUGAAGAGAGGAGCUUGCUCUUCUUGGAUGAGUUGCGAACGGGUGAGUAACGCGUAGGUAACCUGCCUGGUAGCGGGGGAUAACUAUUGGAAACGAUAGCUAAUACCGCAUAAAAUUGAUUAUUGCAUGAUAAUUAAUUGAAAGAUGCAAUUGCAUCACUACCAGAUGGACCUGCGUUGUAUUAGCUAGUUGGUGAGGUAACGGCUCACCAAGGCGACGAUACAUAGCCGACCUGAGAGGGUGAUCGGCCACACUGGGACUGAGACACGGCCCAGACUCCUACGGGAGGCAGCAGUAGGGAAUCUUCGGCAAUGGGGGGAACCCUGACCGAGCAACGCCGCGUGAGUGAAGAAGGUUUUCGGAUCGUAAAGCUCUGUUGUAAGAGAAGAACGGGUGUGAGAGUGGAAAGU
rnacentral:rRNA from 1 species